UCCAUGAUUUCCAUUCAGGAUAAGUUUUUACCUGCUUGGAAUCUUCAAUAGGAGGAGCAAUGAAACGAUUGCCUUGACUUAUAAUGGUAGGGUUCAUGUUUCCACCAAUUGCAUACAUUUCCCAGUGAGUGUAGUCAUUGUUCACAACAUGGACCAAACCAAAUCUGACUCUAGGCAUUCUUUGCUUCAAUCUCUUACCAAAAUGGUUAAACGCAACUGUUAUCUGCAUUUUCUUGUCGAUCACAUCCUUGUUUGUACCCCCAAAUAGCAUCACCUGCAUUAAGAGAGACCUUAGACCUCAAUAGUUUCUGCAUUCGAAGUUUGUAUCCAGUGUGUAUUGUUUGGACCACAGAUACUUCUAUGAUUUAUUUGUAGCCUUAUUUACCUCGUCGUGGUCGGUAAAAUGGGAAUUGGAGAUAGUAAUUGCAGUCGAUCCCAUGAUCGCAUCAAUCAUCCCAUCAGAACAAUCCGUCAUUGAGACAUGAUCGAUCCAAACAUUCGUUGCUCCAAAAAUAUUAAUCCCAUCGCCAUCACUCACUGUCCGAAGCCCAAAAUGUUGCUCGGAGUCUAUAAUCAACCCACCAGCUCCCCUUUUAAUCUGUUUGAUAUGAAUAUUAUGUAUUAUCACAUUCCUGACGAACUGCAACGUUAAACCUGCACCCCCAGUGAUAUAAAUUUUCGCUCCCCGACC